UGAUUUUCAAAGUGGGCAUGCAGCGUCAUUUCUGACUACACAAAGGAACUGCCCUGUAACAGCUGACAGGGCCCAGAACCCCCCCAUGCACCUGUUGUGAAACAGGGUCCAGCGUCACCUGUAUGGAGCAGUGGGUGGCUUGUUGUACAUUUUAAAAUGUGCGCUUGAUGUGUUUGUGAGUUGUAACCCCUACACACUUUUGCUUAGUUUAACAAAAGGAACAGUGUAGUUCGUCCUCAGGCCCCCGUGCUAAUUGCUGCCCUGUCUCUCCAGACUACUCCAGUGGUUUUGGCGGCAAGUAUGGCGUGCAGGCCGACCGAGUAGACAAGAGCGCGGUGGGCUUCGACUACCAGGGCAAGACGGAGAAGCACGAGUCACAGAGAGAUUACUCCAAAGGUUUCGGCGGCAAAUACGGUAUCGACAAGGACAAAGUGGAUAAGAGCGCCGUUGGCUUUGAGUAUCAAGGCAAAACGGAGAAGCA
rnacentral:lncRNA from 1 species